ACACUAUCAUUAACUGAAUCCAUAGGUUAAUGAGGCGAACCGGGGGAACUGAAACAUCUAAGUACCCCGAGGAAAAGAAAUCAACCGAGAUUCCCCCAGUAGCGGCGAGCGAACGGGGAGCAGCCCAGAGCCUGAAUCAGUGUGUGUGUUAGUGGAAGCGUCUGGAAAGGCGCGCGAUACAGGGUGACAGCCCCGUACACAAAAAUGCACAUGCUGUGAGCUCGAUGAGUAGGGCGGGACACGUGGUAUCCUGUCUGAAUAUGGGGGGACCAUCCUCCAAGGCUAAAUACUCCUGACUGACCGAUAGUGAACCAGUACCGUGAGGGAAAGGCGAAAAGAACCCCGGCGAGGGGAGUGAAAAAGAACCUGAAACCGUGUACGUACAAGCAGUGGGAGCACAGAGCAAUCUGUGUGACUGCGUACCUUUUGUAUAAUGGGUCAGCGACUUAUAUUCUGUAGCAAGGUUAACCGAAUAGGGGAGCCGAAGGGAAACCGAGUCUUAACUGGGCGUUAAGUUGCAGGGUAUAGACCCGAAACCCGGUGAUCUAGCCAUGGGCAGGUUGAAGGUUGGGUAACACUAACUGGAGGACCGAACCGACUAAUGUUGAAAAAUUAGCGGAUGACUUGUGGCUGGGGGUGAAAGGCCAAUCAAACCGGGAGAUAGCUGGUUCUCCCCGAAAGCUAUUUAGGUAGCGCCUCGUGAAUUCAUCUCCGGGGGUAGAGCACUGUUUCGGCAAGGGGGUCAUCCCGACUUACCAACCCGAUGCAAACUGCGAAUACCGGAGAAUGUUAUCACGGGAGACACACGGCGGGUGCUAACGUCCGUCGUGAAGAGGGAAACAACCCAGACCGCCAGCUAAGGUCCCAAAGUCAUGGUUAAGUGGGAAACGAUGUGGGAAGGCCCAGACAGCCAGGAUGUUGGCUUAGAAGCAGCCAUCAUUUAAAGAAAGCGUAAUAGCUCACUGGUCGAGUCGGCCUGCGCGGAAGAUGUAACGGGGCUAAACCAUGCACCGAAGCUGCGGCAGCGACACUAUGUGUUGUUGGGUAGGGGAGCGUUCUGUAAGCCUGUGAAGGUGUGCUGUGAGGUAUGCUGGAGGUAUCAGAAGUGCGAAUGCUGACAUAAGUAACGAUAAAGCGGGUGAAAAGCCCGCUCGCCGGAAGACCAAGGGUUCCUGUCCAACGUUAAUCGGGGCAGGGUGAGUCGACCCCUAAGGCGAGGCCGAAAGGCGUAGUCGAUGGGAAACAGGUUAAUAUUCCUGUACUUGGUGUUACUGCGAAGGGGGGACGGAGAAGGCUAUGUUGGCCGGGCGACGGUUGUCCCGGUUUAAGCGUGUAGGCUGGUUUUCCAGGCAAAUCCGGAAAAUCAAGGCUGAGGCGUGAUGACGAGGCACUACGGUGCUGAAGCAACAAAUGCCCUGCUUCCAGGAAAAGCCUCUAAGCAUCAGGUAACAUCAAAUCGUACCCCAAACCGACACAGGUGGUCAGGUAGAGAAUACCAAGGCGCUUGAGAGAACUCGGGUGAAGGAACUAGGCAAAAUGGUGCCGUAACUUCGGGAGAAGGCACGCUGAUAUGUAGGUGAAGUCCCUCGCGGAUGGAGCUGAAAUCAGUCGAAGAUACCAGCUGGCUGCAACUGUUUAUUAAAAACACAGCACUGUGCAAACACGAAAGUGGACGUAUACGGUGUGACGCCUGCCCGGUGCCGGAAGGUUAAUUGAUGGGGUCAGCGCAAGCGAAGCUCUUGAUCGAAGCCCCGGUAAACGGCGGCCGUAACUAUAACGGUCCUAAGGUAGCGAAAUUCCUUGUCGGGUAAGUUCCGACCUGCACGAAUGGCGUAAUGAUGGCCAGGCUGUCUCCACCCGAGACUCAGUGAAAUUGAACUCGCUGUGAAGAUGCAGUGUACCCGCGGCAAGACGGAAAGACCCCGUGAACCUUUACUAUAGCUUGACACUGAACAUUGAGCCUUGAUGUGUAGGAUAGGUGGGAGGCUUGGAAGUGUGGACGCCAGUCUGCAUGGAGCCGACCUUGAAAUACCACCCUUUAAUGUUUGAUGUUCUAACGUUGACCCGUAAUCCGGGUUGCGGACAGUGUCUGGUGGGUAGUUUGACUGGGGCGGUCUCCUCCUAAAGAGUAACGGAGGAGCACGAAGGUUGGCUAAUCCUGGUCGGACAUCAGGAGGUUAGUGCAAUGGCAUAAGCCAGCUUGACUGCGAGCGUGACGGCGCGAGCAGGUGCGAAAGCAGGUCAUAGUGAUCCGGUGGUUCUGAAUGGAAGGGCCAUCGCUCAACGGAUAAAAGGUACUCCGGGGAUAACAGGCUGAUACCGCCCAAGAGUUCAUAUCGACGGCGGUGUUUGGCACCUCGAUGUCGGCUCAUCACAUCCUGGGGCUGAAGUAGGUCCCAAGGGUAUGGCUGUUCGCCAUUUAAAGUGGUACGCGAGCUGGGUUUAGAACGUCGUGAGACAGUUCGGUCCCUAUCUGCCGUGGGCGCUGGAGAACUGAGGGGGGCUGCUCCUAGUACGAGAGGACCGGAGUGGACGCAUCACUGGUGUUCGGGUUGUCAUGCCAAUGGCACUGCCCGGUAGCUAAAUGCGGAAGAGAUAAGUGCUGAAAGCAUCUAAGCACGAAACUUGCCCCGAGAUGAGUUCUCCCUGACUCCUUGAGAGUCCUGAAGGAACGUUGAAGACGACGACGUUGAUAGGCCGGGUGUGUAAGCGCAGCGAUGCGUUGAGCUAACCGGUACUAAUGAACCGUGAGGCUUAACCUU
rnacentral:rRNA from 1 species